GACGAACGCUGGCGGCGUGCUUAACACAUGCAAGUCGAACGGAAAGGCGCUGCGUUUGUGGGGUUCUCGAGUGGCGAACGGGUGAGUAACACGUGAGUAACCUGCCCUUGAAUUUGGGAUAACUUCAGGAAACUGGGGCUAAUACCGGAUAGGAGCUCUUGCUGCAUGGGGGGGGUUGGAAAGUUUCGGCGGUGGGGGAUGGACUCGCGGCUUAUGCGCUUGUUGGUGGGGUAGUGGCGUACCAAGGUUUUGACGGGUAGCCGGCCUGAGAGGGUUGCCGGCCACAUUGGGACUGAGAUACGGACCAGACUGCUACGGGAGGCAGCGGUGGGGAAUAUUGCACAGUGGGCGGAAGCCUGAUGCAGCAACGCCGCGUGCGGGAUGACGGCCUUCGGGUUGUGAACCGCUUUCGCCUGUGACGAAGCGUGAGUGACGGUAAUGGGUAAAGAAGCACCGGCUAACUACGUG
rnacentral:rRNA from 1 species